CACGUAGGGGGCGAGCGUUGUCCGGAUUUAUUGGGCGUAAAGAGCUCGUAGGCGGCUCGGUAAGUGAGGUGUGAAAACUCCGGGCUCAACUCGGAGAGGCCAUCUGAUACUGCCGUGACUGGAGUUCGGUAGAGGAGUGUGGAAUUCCCGGUGUAGCGGUGAAAUGCGCAGAUAUCGGGAGGAACACCAGCGGCGAAGGCGGCACUCUGGGCCGAUACUGACGCUGAGGAGCGAAAGCGUGGGGAGCGAACAGG
rnacentral:rRNA from 1 species